CCUACGGGUGGCAGCAGUGAGGAAUAUUGGUCAAUGGACGAGAGUCUGAACCAGCCAAGUAGCGUGAAGGAUGACUGCCCUAUGGGUUGUAAACUUCUUUUAUAUGGGAAUAAAAUGUUCCACGUGUGGGAUUUUGUAUGUACCAUAUGAAUAAGGAUCGGCUAACUCCGUGCCAGCAGCCGCGGUAAUACGGAGGAUCCGAGCGGUCUUCGGAUUUAUUGGGUUUAAAGGGAGCGUAGGUUGAUUGUUAAGUCAGUUGGGAAAGUUUGCGGCUCAACCGUAAAAUUGCAGUUGAAACUGGCAGUCUUGAGUACAGUAGAGGUGGGCGGAAUUCGUGGUGUAGCGGUGAAAUGCUUAGAUAUCACGAAGAACUCCGAUUGCGAAGGCAGCUCACUGGACUGCAACUGACACUGAGGCUCGAAAGUGUGGGUAUCAAACAGGAUUAGAUACCCCAGUAGUC
rnacentral:rRNA from 1 species